rnacentral:lncRNA from 1 species
UUUAUUUCUUUGGUUUACAAUUUACGUUUCAAAAGAAAACAGUUUAAAAAAUGAAAAAUUAUACGAAAAACAAACAUUAUUAUUAUUAUUAUUAUAAAGAAAUGUACUCAAACAAUAAAGACCAAAAUAAAUAAAUAAAUACAGAUAAUAAUAAUAACAAUAAUAACGGUUUCAAAUUUUGGCACAAGGCCAGCAAUUUUCGGAGAGGUGAAAGCGUCGAUAAAAUCAAGCUCAGUAUUCAAUUCGUACUUAAUUUAUCGACCCCGAGAGGAUGAAGAGGCAAAGUCGACCUCGGCGGAAUUUGAACUCAGAACGGAGUGGCAGACGAGAAAUACCUACUUCUAUUUCUUUACAUACCCCACAAGGGGAUAAACACAGGGGAUACACAAGAACAGACCAUAGGUAUUAAGUCGAUUAUAUCAACCCCAGUGCAUAACUGGUACUUAAUUAUCGACCCCGGUUUCAAAUUCUUGGCACAAGGCCAGCAAUUUUCGGAGAGGUGAAACGUCGAUAAAAUCAAGCUCAGUAUUCAAUUCGUACUUAAUUUAUCGACCCCGAGAGGAUGAAAGGCAAAGUCGACCUCGGCGGAAUUUGAACUCAGAACGGAGUGGCAGACGAAAUACCUACUUCUAUUUCUUUACUACCCACAAGGGGAUAAACACAGGGGACACACAAGAACAGACAUAGGUAUUAAGUCGAUUAUAUCAACCCCAGUGCAUAACUGGUACUUAUUUAAUCGACCCCGAAAGGAUGAAAGGCAAAGUCGACCUCGGCGGAAUUUGAACUCAGAACGUAGUGGCAGACGAAAUACCUACUUCUAUUUCUUUACUACCCACAAGGGGAUAAACACAGGGGACACACAAGAACAGACAUAGGUAUUAAGUCGAUUAUAUCAACCCCAGUGCAUAACUGGUACUUAAUUUAUCGACCCCGAAAGAACGAAGGGCAAAGUCGACCCUGGUGCAGUUUAAACUCGGAGGAAUGCCGCUGUUAAGCAUUUUAUCCGGCGUGCUAACGUUUCUGACAGCUCACCACCUUAAUAGUAAUAAUAAUAAUAAUGACCUUAACCAGCUGAGCAUGUCCCCUAGUGGCUGACGAUAUGUGCACCUAUGAUCACGAGCAGAAGUAGUGGGGUAGCAUCAUAGCCAUGUGUUGAGAGGGAUUCUUUGGUGUUUGGAUAAUUUACCUUUGGAAACAUAGGUGGUUCGUUCAACAUCCUUAAGCCCAGUACUUAUUCUAUCGAUCUCUUUUGCCAAACCGCUAAGUAACGGGGACGUAAAUACACCAG